rnacentral:rRNA from 1 species
UACGUAGGGGGCUAGCGUUGUCCGGAAUCAUUGGGCGUAAAGCGCGUGUAGGCGGUCCGACAAGUCAGGGGUGAAAUCCUGCAGCUUAACUGUAGAAGUGCCUCUGAUACUGUCGGUCUUGAGGGAGAUAGGGGUGUGCGGAACUGUAGGUGGAGCGGUGAAAUGCGUUGAUAUCUACAGGAACUCCGGUGGCGAAAGCGGCGUGCUGGACCUUUCUA